rnacentral:rRNA from 1 species
UACAGAGGCCUCGAGCGUUAGGCGGAAUCACUGGGCUUAAAGCGUGUGUAGGUGGAUGCCUAAGUACCUUGUGAAAUCCCACGGCUUAACCGUGGAACUGCUGGGUAUACUGGGUGUCUUGAGCCACUCAGGGGCUACCGGAACAAACGGUGGAGCGGUGAAAUGCGUAGAUAUCAGGAGGAACACCGGUGGCGAAGGCGGGUCUCUGGGCCGAUACUGACGCUGAGGAGCGAAAGUGUGGGGAGCGAACAGG